GUGCUCGCUUUGGCAGCACGUAUACUAAAACUGGAGCGACGCAGAGAUUAGCAUGGCCCCUGCACAAGGAUGACACACGAAUUGGUGAAGCAUUCAUAUUUUUU